ACUCAAAUGAAUAGACGGGGACCCGCACAAGCAGCGGAGCAUGUGGUUUAAUUCGAUGCAACGCGAAGAACCUUACCAGGGCUUGACAUCCCUCGGGCCGUCUUAGAGAUAAGACCUUCUCUUCGGAGACUGAGGGACAGGUGGUGCAUGGUUGUCGUCAGCUCGUGUCGUGAGAUGUUGGGUUAAGUCCCGCAACGAGCGCAACCCUUGCCUUUAGUUGCCAACAGUUAGGCUGUGCACUCUAGAGGGACUGCCGAUGAUAAAUCGGAGGAAGGUGGGGAUGACGUCAAAUCAUCAUGCCCUUUAUGUCCUGGGCUACACACGUGCUACAAUGGUCGGUACAACGGGUAGCGACUUAGUGAUAAGGAGCCAAUCCCUUAAAACCGAUCCCAGUUCGGAUUGCAGGCUGCAACUCGCCUGCAUGAAGCCGGAGUUGCUAGUAAUCGUGGAUCAGAAUGCCACGGUGAAUGCGUUCCCGGGUCUUGCACACACCGCCCGU
rnacentral:rRNA from 1 species